rnacentral:lncRNA from 1 species
CUAUGAUCGAGGUUCUUUAUAUGAUUCAUAAGCAACAAAGGAGAAGAUAACCACAAGAAGAAGCAGCAUAGAAGAAUAGAAGACGAAGACAGCAAGAAAGGAAGGAGAACUGAAUAGAAGGGAGAAACCCAAAGAAAAAGAGAUCGAAGAGGAAGGCAGGGGAAGGAGAAAACUGAGGCAACAAGCCAAGCACAAUUCAUUUAAUUUAAACAACUACAUAUAUAGUAAACCUUAAACCUACUAGUAAUGGAAUUGGGUCAACCCAAUAAUACGAGCCCAAUAACUAAAAAAAAUACAAUAGUCCAACGAUAACAAAAGGAUGUCCGCAUCAAUUCUCUUAGGGUAGAGAGAGAACUCGACUAUGUGAAGUUGUCAAUUUAUGAAUGACUGUAGUUGAGCUCUCACUCAUAAGUAAGGUGGAUGAACUUAUGCCAUAGGCGAUGAUCUCUCUUAAGAACUAAAUAUCGAAACUCCAUGAUCGAUAACAAUGAAAACUGUAGUUUAUUCCCAAG